GAUGAACGCUGGCGGCGUGCCUAAUACAUGCAAGUCGAGCGAACAGAUGAGGAGCUUGCUCCUCUGACGUUAGCGGCGGACGGGUGAGUAACACGUGGAUAACCUACCUAUAAGACUGGGAUAACUUCGGGAAACCGGAGCUAAUACCGGAUAAUAUAUUGAACCGCAUGGUUCAAUAGUGAAAGACGGUUUUGCUGUCACUUAUAGAUGGAUCCGCGCGGCAUUAGCUAGUUGGUAAGGUAACGGCUUACCAAGGCAACGAUGCGUAGCCGACCUGAGAGGGGGAUCGCCCACAUGGGAACGAGACCAGGGCCCAGCCUCCUACGGAAGGAAGAAGAAGGAAUCCUCCCGAAAGGGCGGAAGGCCUGACGGAGCACCGCCGGGGGGGUAAUAAAGUUGUUGGGACCUAAAAAUUUUGUUAUUAGGAAAAAAAAAAUGGGUAAGUAACAAUGCACGCCUUGAGGGUACCUAACAAGAAAGCCACGGCUAACUCCGUG
rnacentral:rRNA from 1 species